UACGUAGGGGCAAGCGUUGUCCGGAUUUAUUGGCGUAAAGAGCGUGUAGGCGGCCAGGUAGGUGGUUGUGAAAACUGGAGGCUCAACCUUCAGACGUCGACCCAAACCCCCUGGCUAGAGUCCGGAAGAGGAGAGUGGAAUUCCUGGUGUAGCGGUGAAAUGCGCAGAUAUCAGGAGAACACCCGUGGCGAAAGGCGGCUCUCUGGGACGGUACUGACGCUGAAGAGCGAAAGCGUGGGGAGCGAAACAGG
rnacentral:rRNA from 1 species